rnacentral:lncRNA from 1 species
AUGUCACACACACACCAUCAGUCUCUCAUACAUACUUUCUCACAAAUAUUUUCACCCAUCCUCACAUAUAUGCUAUCGCACAUAUAUACUCUCUUCUACUACUCUCAUAGUCUCUCACACAGUCUCACAAUUCCCUUUCAUGCAGAUGCUCUCACAUGCAUUUUCAGUCACACACAGUCUCUCAUAUAUUCUAUCACACACACAUUCUCUGUCUCACAUUCUUACCUUUUUUGCAUUCUCUUUUACACACAUUCUCUCACACAUUUAAUUUCACACACGUUUUCUAACAAACUCUCACAUUUUUGCACACACAUUCUCACAUUCUUUUCACACAUUCUUGCACACACACAACCUCACACUCGCCUUUUCACACACAUUACCACACACAGUCUCACACACAUUUUCUCACAUCCACAUUAUCUCACACACAUGCACACAAAGUAUCUCACAUUUUUUCACAUUCUUACAAACUCUUACAUAAUCCUCUCUCUCCCACAUUCAACACAUAAUUCUGUCUCACACACAUUCUCCCACAGGCACUCUCACAAUCACUCUCUCACACGCACAAUACACAUGAUCUCUCCCGCACACACCCUCAGUCUCUCAUACGCACAUUUUCUCACAUAUUUCCACUUACACAUCCUCUCAGAUACAUGCCAUUGCACACACACAUUCUCUUAUACAACUUUCAUUCUCUCCCACACUCUCACAAUUCCAUUUUACACAGUUCUCACACACAUUCACACCCUCUCACAUACCUACAUGUGUACAUACUCUUUUAUACAGUCUCUCACGCAUUUAAUUUCACACACAUUUUCUAACAGACUCUCACAUUCUCUCUCUCUCUCUCUCUCUCUCUCUCUCACACACACACACACACACACACAACACACACGAACUCUCUCUCACACACACAUUCUUUCUCUUGCAUCUUAUCCCAGAUUCUCCUCUAUCUGCAAUUUUAGGGAUACCACAGCUCUUCAGUUCAAUGUUACGUUUCCUGGCACGUACUCAAGUAAUCCAAAUCCCAGGCCGUGA